rnacentral:misc_RNA from 1 species
UCUUCAAAACCACUGGGCAAAUCCUCCUCUUUGAAUGGUAUAUAUGUCAAUUCCACCUCUAGCCGCCCACAUGACUUUUCAUUUUGAGGAUCAUUCAAAUCCAUAUUUUUAAGGAGGUCAAGAGUCAUAACUUUUGGAUCCUCUGGUGGAAGUUCUUUUAGAGGAACUACAUUCAUACCCAUCUUAUCAUGUUUGCCAACCUGCUCCCAAUCAUAAACAUGAAACUCUACAGCCUGAGUCUCUGGAUCUUUAACAACCAAAUUGAAUUCCUCAUUCCAUUCAGGGUUCAAGUUCUUGUGUUUUACAGUUGUCUUCUUUGAUGGAAG